rnacentral:rRNA from 1 species
CCUCGGGACGCUCCAGUGGGGAAUAUUGGACAAUGGAGGCAACUCUGAUCCAGCCAUGCCGCGUGAGUGAAGAAGGCCUUAGGGUUGUAAAGCUCUUUCAGAUGUGACGAUGAUGACGGUAACAUCAGAAGAAGCCCCGGCUAACUUCGUGCCAGCAGCCGCGGUAAUACGAAGGGGGCUAGCGUUGUUCGGAAUUACUGGGCGUAAAGCGCGCGUAGGCGGCUUGAUCAGUCAGUGGUGAAAUCCCAGGGCUCAACCCUGGAACUGCCUUUGAUACUGUCAAGCUAGAGCUCGGAAGAGGGUGGCGGAAUAUCCAGUGUAGAGGUGAAAUUCGUAGAUAUUGGAUAGAACACCAGUGGCGAAGGCGGCCACCUGGUCCGUAGCUGACGCUGAGGUGCGAAAGCGUGGGGAGCAAACAGGAUUAGAUACCCCGGUAGUC